GUUUGCCUGCCUAUUGUUCACUGCAGGCGCAGCAUCUCGUUCCAGCGGGCAAUCAGCCUCGCCCGCUUGACCUGGUCAAGA
rnacentral:sRNA from 1 species